ensembl:lncRNA
CCGCGAUCUUGUCCUUUCGGUCAUCACCCAGCCCUCAUGACCAUAGGUGAGGAUAGGAACGAAGAUCGACCGGUAGAUCGAGAGCUUUGCCUUGCGGCUCAGCUCUCUUUUCGUUACAACGGUGCGGUAAAGCGAACGCAAUACCGCCCCCGCUGCUCCGAUUCUCCGGCCAAUCUCACGCUCCAUAGUACCCUCACUCGCGAACAAGACCCAGAGGUACUUGAACUCCUUCACCUGGGCUAAGGACUCAUUUCCUACCCGGAGUAAGCAAUCCACCGGUUUCCUGCUAAGAGUCAUGGCCUCAGAUUUAGCGGUGCUGAUCCUCAUCCCAGCCGCUUCACACUCGGCCGCCAGCCGAUCCAGUGAGUGCUGAAGGUCACAGGCCGAUGAUCCGAUGAGGACCACAUCAUCUGCAAAAAGCAGUGACGAGAUCCUCAGACCACCGAACUGCAACCCCUCCCCACCACGAC